UUUCUCUCAGGGUCAUACCUGGAGAGUUUCCAGUACUCUAUUAGUCUCGACUGUGGGAGGAAGAGUCAAGCAGAGGUGUGCCCAUUCCAUUCCUAGCUUGGGCAGUGGCUAGAGCGUGGGAGACAAUCUGCUACAAGU